rnacentral:rRNA from 1 species
AAUCUUCUGCAAUGGACGAAAGUCUGACCGAGCAACGCCGCGCGAGGGAUGAAGGUUUUCGGAUCGUAAAACCCUGUGUUUAGGGACGAACAAGUAUCGGAGUCACUGCCGAUAGCUUGCCGGUACCUGACGAGAAAGCCACGGCUAACUACGUGGCAGACGCCGCGGUAAUACGUAGGUGGCAAGCGUUGUCCGUAUUUAUUGGGCGUAAAGCGCGCGCAUGCGUGCUUUUAAGUCUGAUGUGAAAUCUUACAGCUUAACUGUAAGCGGUCAUUGGAAACUGGGAGACUUGAGUGCAGAAGAGGAGAGGGGAAUACCAUGUGUAGCGGUGAAAUGGGUAGAGAUAUGGGGUAACACCAGUGGCGAAGGCGACUCUCGGGUCUAUAACUGACGCUGAGGCGCGAAAGCGUGGGGAUCAAACA